rnacentral:tRNA from 4 species
GGAGGGGUGCCAGAGCGGACGAAUGGGACGGUCUUGAAAACCGUUGAGGUGAGAGCCUCCGUGGGUUCGAAUCCCACCCCCUCCGCCA